rnacentral:rRNA from 1 species
AUUGAACGCUGGCGGCAGGCUUAACACAUGCAAGUCGAACGGUAACAGGGAGAAACUUGUUUCUCUGCUGACGAGUGGCGGACGGGUGAGUAAUGCUUGGGAAUCUGCCUUAUGGAGGGGGAUAACCACUGGAAACGGUGGCUAAUACCGCGUAAUAUCUUCGGAUUAAAGUGUGGGACUUUCGAGCCACACGCCAUAAGAUGAGCCCAAGUGAGACUAGGUUGUUGGUGAGGUAAUGGCUCACCAAGCUUACGAUCUCUAGCUGGUUUGAGAGGAUGACCAGCCACACUGGGACUGAGACACGGCCCAGACUCCUACGGGAGGCAGCAGUGGGGAAUAUUGCACAAUGGGCGCAAGCCUGAUGCAGCCAUGCCGCGUGAAUGAAGAAGGCCUUAGGGUUGUAAAGUUCUUUCAUUAGUGAGAAAGCGGUUAUAUCUAAUAGGUGUAACCAUUGAUGUUAGCUAAAGAAGAAGCACCGGCUAACUCCGUGCCAGCAGCCGCGGUAAUACGGAGGGUGCGAGCGUUAAUCGGAAUGACUGGGCGUAAAGGGCACGCAGGCGGUUAUUUAAGUCAGAUGUGAAAGCCCCGAGCUUAACUUGGGAAUUGCAUUUGAUACUGGGUAACUAGAGUCCUCUAGGGAGGGGUAGAAUUCCAUGUGUAGCGGUGAAAUGCGUAGAGAUGUGGAGGAAUACCGAAGGCGAAGGCAGCCCCUUGGAGAGAGACUGACGCUCAUGUGCGAAAGCGUGGGUAGCAAACAGG